CCCUAAAGAAGCGUACUUUGUAGUGCUCACACAGAUUGUCUGAUAGAAAGUGAAAAGCAAGGCGUUUACGCGUUGGGAGUGAGGCUGAAGAGAAUAAGGCCGUUCGCUUUCUAUUAAUGAAAGCUCACCCUACACGAAAAUAUCACGCAACGCGUGAUAAGCAAUUUUCGUGUCCCCUUCGUCUAGAGGCCCAGGACACCGCCCUUUCACGGCGGUAACAGGGGUUCGAAUCCCCUAGGGGACGCCACUUGCUGGUUUGUGAGUGAAAGUCACCUGCCUUAAUAUCUCAAAACUCAUCUUCGGGUGAUGUUUGAGAUAUUUGCUCUUUAAAAAUCUGGAUCAAGCUGAAAAUUGAAACACUGAACAACGAAAGUUGUUCGUGAGUCUCUCAAAUUUUCGCAACACGAUGAUGAAUCGUAAGAAACAUCUUCGGGUUGUG
rnacentral:misc_RNA from 1 species